rnacentral:rRNA from 1 species
CCUACGGGAGGCAGCAGUGAGGAAUAUUGGUCAAUGGGUGCGAGCCUGAACCAGCCAAGUAGCGUGAAGGAUGACUGCCCUACGGGUUGUAAACUUCUUUUAUAAAGGAAUAAAGUGAGGCUCGUGUGCCUUUUUGUAUGUACUUUAUGAAUAAGGAUAGGCUAACUACGUGCCAGCAGCCGCGGUAAUACGGAGGAUCCGAGCGUUAUACGGAUGUAGUGGGUGUAAAGGGAGCGUAGAUGGGUUGUUAAGUCAGUUGUGAAAGUUUGCGGCUCAACCGUAAAAUUGCAAUUGAUACUGGCAGCCUUGAGUACAGUUGAGGUAGGCGGAAUUCGUGGUGUAGCGGUGAAAUGCUUAGAUAUCACGAAGAACUCCGAUUGCGAAGGCAGCUUACUAAACUGCCACUGACAUUGAUGCUCGAAAGUGUGGGUAUCAAACAGGAUUAGAUACCCCUGUAGUC